rnacentral:rRNA from 1 species
AGCAGCCGCGGUAAUUCCAGCUCCAAUAGCGUAUAUUAAAGUUGUUGCAGUUAAAAAGCUCGUAGUUGAAUUUCGGGAUCAAGGAAUCGGUCAUGCCUUGGUAUGUACUGGUUUUAUUGGUUCUAACCUUCUAAAGAACCAUAAUGUCAUUCAUUUGAUGUUAUGGGGAAUUAGGACUGUUACCUUGAAAAAAUUAGAGUGUUUAAAGCAGGCUUACGCUUGAAUACAUUAGCAUGGAAUAAUGAAAUAGGACAUCCGAUUCUAUUUUGUUGGUUUCUAGGAUCGAUGUAAUGAUUAAUAGGGAUAGUUGGGGGCAUUAGUAUUCAAUUGUCAGAGGUGAAAUUCUUGGAUUUAUUGAAGACUAACUACUGCGAAAGCAUUUGCCAAGGAUGUUUUCAUUAAUCAAGAACGAAAGUUAGGGGAUCGAAGACGAUCAGAUACCGUCGUAGUCUUAACCAUAAACUAUGCCGACUAGGGAUCGGAUGAUGUUAAUUUUAUAAUGACUCAUUCGGCUAACCG